CAUGAUGCUCCGAUCUCAGAUUUACAAUCAACUACUCUCUCUAGUUGUAUCAAUGUAAUUGUUUCGAAGAAUCUUGAGCAAAAUUUUCAGAUCGGUUCUUCGUCAAAAUCGUCCUAACUAUCAAUUUCAAGAUGCGAUCAACAAUGAUAUGAGGAACAAUUUGCUGGUUUCUCUGAAUCCGAUAAGGAGAAUUAUGGUCUGUUUAUCGAGAAGCACAGUUGGAGUCGACCACUAAAUUCAGGAAGCUUUUAUCUCUUGUGCGUGACCCACCAAUUGAUAAGGUAAUUAAAGCCGGUGUUGUCCCACGAUUCGUAGGAUUUCUUGCAAGGAACGAUCCUCCUCAACUCCAGUUUGAGGCAGCGUGGGUUUUGACGAAUAUCGCGGCAGGCACAUCAGAGCAUACACAAGUUGUGAUUCAACAUAGUGCUGUUCCAACGCUUGUGCAACUUCUUAGCUCUGGAAAUGCUGAUCUUCGUGAACAGGUCUACAUCAAUGUCCUAUCUUUGUCCUAUAAACUUACUUCUUAGCCAGUGGAUGUAACUUUUGCAUAUGACAUGGAUGUGUAACUGCGACAUACACAAACUUUAUGGAUGUGUAAUCGUUGAUUACACAUGCAUAUGACAUGUGUAACUGCUGCAUACACAUGCCAUAUGCACGUGUAACUGUUGCAUACACAUCUAUUUUCACUUCUCUCUGGUGGUGGCGGUGGUGCUGCUGUUAACUCUCUCUUGUAUUGAAGAACAAAUUAUGGCUCAUAUCGAAGAUAUGCAAGCAUUUUGGAGGGAGUGAGACAAGAAGGAAAGGCAAAUAUUUAAACUUCAUAAAAGCACAAAUCAGACGCGUGUGUAACUCUCAAUUACACUAGAUAGAUGCAUGUGUAACUCUCAAUUACACUAAACAGAUGCGUGUGUAACUUCUAGUUACACAUGUUAAGAAAUUA